rfam:Physcomitrella patens subsp. patens PHYPAscaffold_356 genomic scaffold, whole genome shotgun sequence.
UAAGAGGCUUUUAUAAAAGCCAUUUUUAGAUACUUUAAAUUAUUAU